UACGUAGGGGGCGAGCGUUGUCCGAAGUUACUGGGCGUAAAGCGCACGUAGGCGGCCAGACAAGUUGCAUGUAAAAGGCGACAGCUCAACUGUCGAGUGAGGUGCAAGACUGUAUGGCUUGAGGCAAGCAAAAGAGUGUGGAACUCCGAGUGUAGCGGUGGAAUGCGUAGAGAUUCGGAAGAACACCCAUGGCGAAGGCAGCACUCUGGGCUUGACAAAAGGAGCUUUAAGCUAAGCGUAAGCUGAGCAAGAAGCUUUAUACCUGACGCUGAGGAGCGAAAGCCAGGGGAGCAAACGGG
rnacentral:rRNA from 1 species